ensembl:lncRNA
GUAGGCUACCCUAGUUCAGCCUGGUGCUUUCUACUUCCUGGUGUAUACAGGUGUGGCCCUCUUCGUCACUAAACCUGACAGCACUGGAACAUUCUAGAGCACAUGGUACUUAUUAAGACCCCUCCUCUGAAAGUUCCACCUCCAAAUACCAUCAUGGGAUGAGUUACAGCUUCCGCCUAUGAAUGUGAGGGAACACAAGCCUUCACUCCAUGGUCGCGUUGAUGACUAGUGGUGGCACGGUCAGCCCUAUGCUGGUGAAGGUAGGAGGGAAAGGAACCCGAAGUUAGAAGACAAAAGAAACGAUGGGCUGGCAUGCAGAGUGAAGACUUAAGGCACCUUAGAAUAAAAGCCAAGGCACCAGAAACUAUGGAGAAAAAGGCAGUUGCAACCCCAGGAACCAGGGGUGGGCAAGUAUUGUCCAGUCCAGUUCAGUUCAGUCGCUCGGUCGUGUCCGACUCUUUGCUACCCCACGAAUCGCAGCACGCCAGGCCUCCCUGUCCAUCACCGUCUCCCGGAGUUCACUCAGACUCACGUCCAUCGAGUCGGUGAUGCCAUCCAGCCAUCUCAUCCUCUGUCAUCCCCUUCUCCUCCCGCCCCCAAUCCCUCCCAGCGUCAGUGUCUUUUCCAAUGAGUCACUCUUCGCAUGAGGUGGCCAAAGUACUGGAGUUUCAGCUUCAGCAUCAUUCCUUCCAAAGAAAUCUCAGGGCUGAUCUCCUUCAGAAUGGACUGGUUGGAUCUCCUUGCAGUCCAAGGGACUCUCAAGAGUCUUCUCCAACACCACAGUUCAAAAGCAUCAAUUCUUC